ACAGCAAGCCGUCUUAUCGCUGCUCCCACCUGGGAGGAGAGGAAAGUCCGGGCAACGCAGAGCAUCCUACUUCCUAACGGGAAGGGUCCCGGGCAACCGGGAUACAGCCAGUGCCACAGAAAAUUACCGCCUCUUGCAAAAGAGGUAAGGGUGAAAAGGUGCGGUAAGAGCGCACCAGCGGCUGGGUGACCAGUCCGGCUGGGUAAACCUUAGGAGUUGAAAGACCAAAUAGGCUGGCAGCGCCUCGCUUCGGCGGGGCUAAGGGCUGCUCGUCCGAUGUCAGUGGGUAGGUCGAUGGAGCCUGCGCGCGAGUGCAGGCCUAGAUAAAUGAUAAGACGCACGCCUUCGGGUGUAGCGACAGAACCCGGCUUACAGGCUUGCUGUUAAU
rnacentral:RNase_P_RNA from 1 species